rnacentral:rRNA from 1 species
CUACGGGAGGCAGCAGUGGGGAAUAUUGGACACUGGGGGAAACCCUGAUCCAGCCAUGCCGCGUGAGUGAAGAAGGCCUUAGGGUUGUAAAGCUCUUUCACCUGCGACGAUGAUGACGGUAGCAGGAGAAGAAGCCCCGGCUAACUUCGUGCCAGCAGCCGCGGUAAUACGAAGGGGGCUAGCGUUGUUCGGAAUAACUGGGCGUAAAGCGCGCGUAGGCGGGCUGUUAAGUCAGGGGUGAAAUCCCGGGGCUCAACCCCGGAACUGCCUUCGAUACUGGCAGCCUAGAGUUCGAGAGAGGUGAGUGGAAUUCCGAGUGUAGAGGUGAAAUUCGUAGAUAUUCGGAGGAACACCAGUGGCGAAGGCGGCUCACUGGCUCGAUACUGACGCUGAGGUGCGAAAGCGUGGGGAGCAAACAGGAUUAGAUACCCGUGUAGUCC